GACGGGGGGGGGCAAGUGUUCUUCGGAAUGACUGGGCGUAAAGGGCACGUAGGCGGUGAAUCGGGUUGAAAGUGGAAGUCGCCAAAAAGUGGCGGAAUGCUCUCGAAACCAAUUCACUUGAGUGAGACAGAGGAGAGUGGAAUUUCGUGUGUAGGGGUGAAAUCCGUAAUAUACGAAGAAACGCCAAAAGCGAACGGCAGC
rnacentral:rRNA from 1 species